rnacentral:rRNA from 1 species
UACGUAGGGGGCAAGCGUUGUCCGGAUUUAUUGGGCGUAAAGAGCGUGUAGGCGGCCUGACAGGUCUGCUGUGAAAACUCGAGGCUCAACCUCGAGAUGUCGGCGGAAACCGUCUGGCUAGAGUCCGGAAGAGGAGAGUGGAAUUCCUGGUGUAGCGGUGAAAUGCGCAGAUAUCAGGAAGAACACCUAUGGCGAAGGCAGCUCUCUGGGACGGUACUGACGCUGAGAUACGAAAGCGUGGGGAGCAAACAGG